CCCUUAGAUGUUCUGGGCCGCACGCGUGCUACACUGAGUGGAUCAGCGGGUCAGGUUGCGCGAAAGUGUUUCCUAAUCUUUAAAUCCGCUCGUGAUGGGGAUUGACGGUUGCAAUUUUCCGUCAUGAACGAGGAAUACCUUGUAAGCGCGGGUCAUCAUCCCGCGCUGAAUACGUCCCUGCCCUUUGUACACACCGCCCGUCGCUCCUACCGAUUGAGUGGUCCGGUGAGGCUUUGGGAUCUGAGUGGAAAGAGCGUUUCGCUGUUUCUGCCCGGAAAACUCAGUCGAACCUUAUCAUUUAGAGGAAGGAGAAGUCGUAACA
rnacentral:rRNA from 1 species